CGGAGGGUGCAAGCGUUAUCCGGAUUUACUGGGUUUAAAGGGUGCGUAGGCGGGCAGCUAAGUCAGUGGUGAAAUCUCCGAGCUUAACUCGGAAACUGCCGUUGAUACUAGUUGUCUUGAAUAUUGUGGAGGUAAGCGGAAUAUGUCAUGUAGCGGUGAAAAUGCUUAGAUAUGACAUGGAACACCAAUUGCGAAGGCAGCUUACUACACAAUGAUUGACGCUGAUGCACGAAAAGCGUGGGGAUCAAAACAGGAUU
rnacentral:rRNA from 1 species